GCCAAUGUGGUAGUGGUUUGAGCGUCGGUUUAUCACUCUGGAGACCAGGGUUCGAAUCCCGGCUUAGCCA